CCUUUGUCAUGCAGAAUUGCUUGAUUUCUAAAGAAACGUACAAAGGCUCUUUUUCAGGAUUCAAGUAUUUUGUUUCGUGCGCAUUUUCAACCCGUGGAAUCAGCUGCAGCGCCGCACCGUCUACCAGACCCAGCUUGCAGUAUGUCGAAGAGUCUAAAAAGACGUUAAUGUGUUUAACUGGAGCAAGAAAUUCUGAGGAGAUCGUCUCGUGGCCUCGAAAAGAGGAUCCGAAGACGAUGAAUACUCAGAGUACGAAGACGAGAGGAUACACAAAGAUAACUUUGAUUAAUAGGCGCUCCACUGGGAGAAUCUUUGAUGGGUCUCCAAGCGCGCCUGUAACCUGUCCUACAAGCCAUGAGAUCUUUUAGUGUGAUGAUAAUGCAUGUCUAGUUCGGAGAACCAAAUCAAUAACUAAAAAACUACUAGAUUAAGUUGUUUGCGAUUACAAUUUUUACUGUAUUGACCUUAUCAUAGACGUUCUGUAUGAGUUUACCAGUCCUUCAUGCUUACAGGUGUCUAUACAGACCGCGAAGAGCAGACAUGUCUUAGCCUUUCAUGUGAAUUAAUAAUUCUUUUUCUGCGUACCUAUAUUGUUGUUCAGGGGGGAUGUUCAGCUGCAUAAAUGAACUGUCAGCACUUACCUACUAAACCCAAGGCGCCAACCUUUCCAUAAAAUUAAGUACCUUGCCGGAGCGGAAAAUACAUUGAUCUCUUUUUUUUUGCUAAAAUGGACACAAUAAUAGCUUAAAAUAUAACACCAGAGGCAAAAAUACAAAACUGGAACGAAACUUUUUUCAAAGAAAAUUCUAGUUCAUCACAUUAUAAAACAAUGUCGGCAACGAAUUACACAUUAUCACAUUAUACAGUUUCAUGGAAUGCGUCAUUGGUACAUUUAAGUGCACUAUUUAUAAGCCUGUGUCCAAUACAAAUGUGUCGUCUUGAUUGUUUUUAAGCAGUGGUUUAUGAGAAUAUAUUUCCCCCACAUUGGCAACUUCUUUCAAGAUGGAAAAAGUUGUGCCAAAUUGGUGGUAAAAUGUACUGUAUGAAAUAUAAUGUGAUUGAAUGGUUAAAAGUAUAAUAAGCAGCCCGUUUUGAACCAGUGACACGUGUACUAUACCAUGUGCAAACUAUACAUGAAAUUGGUGACAUAAUUCUGUUCUCUAUGGUACCCCAAACUGGAGUGAAAUACGCACAUAAGAGAAUUUUCCCCAAAUGCGACUGUCUUCGCAAAGGUUAGCGGAGACAAACUGCCACUUUGUUAAUCAUACUGUUGUGAAACUAAAUGGUGAUAUGUAGUUGUGGAUGAAGAAGAAUUGUAUUUACUUAUGAAAUGUAUCCAAAUACAUAUCCUAGAUAAACGAGGUCAACUUGAUUAGUACGUGUCUUACCAAGAAUAUUUGAAUCAAAUACAUGUAUUUAUAUAUUUUGGGUACAUGUUUGAUGUAAUUUGGGUACAAUAUUGAUGCU